AUCAGGACAUCGACACGAUAACAUCCACUUAAAGCUCGGAAAAGGCAAGAUAGACUUACUAAUGACAUCUUUUAGGCAGCCUCUCGGAGUGAUCUAACAUUCUGGUCAAGUUUGUCCUUGUCCGUCUUACUUUCAGCUGACAACGCCGAAUUGACCGCACAUGGAGGGUUAUGCCGACUGGCGAGACAAAAAUCCCGCCCCCGACGAUGAUGCCGAUGAUGAUACUGACGCAGUGGAACAGGUUGAUCUGCUUCUUCAACUCUAUUCGGCCGUCGUUGUCUCCACUGUCCAAACUCUCCGCCGAGUCCUCUCUGGGCUGCUGCUGUUGUUGCUGCUGUUUGAUGGAAGUCAUGGUGCUCGAAGGAAUGGUGGGCAACUGGCCUUUAGGAGACACGCUCAUAUUGAGAAGAAUCUGAUGGUUUCUUUGGCUU